CGGGACGGGUGAGUAAUGUCUGGGAAACUGCCCGAUGGAGGGGGGUAACUACUGGAAACGGUAGCUAAUACCGCAUAACGUCGCAAGACCAAAGAGGGGGACCUUCGGGCCUCUUGCCAUCGGAUGUGCCCAGAUGGGAUUAGCUAGUAGGUGGGGUAAUGGCUCACCUAGGCGACGAUCCCUAGCUGGUCUGAGAGGAUGACCAGCCACACUGGAACUGAGACACGGUCCAG
rnacentral:rRNA from 1 species